UACGUAGGGCGCAAGCGUUGUCCGGAAUUAUUGGGCGUAAAGAGCUCGUAGGCGGUUUGUCGCGUCUGCUGUGAAAACUCGAGGCUCAACCUCGGGCUUGCAGUGGGUACGGGCAGACUAGAGUGCGGUAGGGGUGACUGGAAUUCCUGGUGUAGCGGUGGAAUGCGCAGAUAUCAGGAGGAACACCCGUAGCGAAGGCGGCACUCUGGGCCGGAACUGACGCUGAGGAGCGAAAGCGUGGGGAGCAAACAGG
rnacentral:rRNA from 1 species